rnacentral:piRNA from 3 species
GGAUUAGCUCAAAUGGUAGAGCGCUCGC